CACGUAGGGCGCAAGCGUUGUCCGGAAUUAUUGGGCGUAAAGAGCUCGUAGGUGGUUUGUUACGUCUGCUGUGAAAACCUAGGGCUUAACCCUGGGCUUGCAGUGGAUACGGGCAGACUAGAGGUAGGUAGGGGAGAAUGGAAUUCCUGGUGUAGCGGUGAAAUGCGCAGAUAUCAGGAGGAACACCGGUGGCGAAGGCGGUCUCUCGUCGGCUUACCUGACACUGAGGAGCGAAAGCGUGGGGAGCGAACAGG
rnacentral:rRNA from 1 species